rnacentral:rRNA from 1 species
ACCAGCGCCACGAGUGGCUAUCGCGAUUAUUGGGCCUAAAGCGUCCGUAGUCGGCUCUAUCCAUCUUCUGUGAAAUCGCAGCGCUCAACGUUGCGGCAUGCGGGAGACGCGGUAGAGCUUGAGACCGGGAGGCGUGUAGGGUAUUCCACGGGGACCGGUAAAAUGGUAUAAUCCGUGGAGGACCACCUGUGGCGAAGGCGCUACACGAGAACGGAUCUGACGAUGAGGGACGAAAGCCAGGGGAGCAAACCGGA